rnacentral:ncRNA from 1 species
UUCUCUGGAGAAGUUUGAUCUUUGCUUAAGAAAUUUACUCUAAGGUCGUUAAACAUGUUAAUUUUUGUGUGAUUUUUAUCUUCUUGAGGAGAUUUUUGUUUUAUUCGCAGUUUUUUAUUUUAUUUUUUUAGGAAACUAAGAAUUAGUCAAUUUUUAUAGUUCUGACAAAGUUUGUGCCAGCAGUCGCGGUUAUACAAUAAGAGCAAGUAAAUUUUAUUGGAGUUACAUCUAUGAUGAAAUUAUUUAAGUUUAUGUAUUUUUUUAUCGGGUGAAAUCGUUUAGGAUAUAUAAGUCUUAUAUUUUGAUGUUGAAUGUGAAAUUUUGUAGUGGGACUAGGAUUAGAUACCCUAUUAUUAUAAAAUGUUAAGAGCUCUCUUGGUAUUAUUAGUUAUGAUCUUUAAAUUAAAAGGAUUUGGCGGUAAUUUAGUCUUUUCAGAGGAACCUGCCCUGUAAUUGAUGAUCCACGAUAGAUUUUACCUUAUUUUAGCUUGUAUACCUCUGUCAUUGAAUGUCUUAAUAGGGUUAAUUUUCUUUGAUUUUUAAUGAAGUUAAUGUCAAGUCAAGGUGCAGCAGUAUUAAGGAAGAGGUGGGUUACAAUAAAGAUAUUUAUGGAUUGGGAGUUGAAACACUCUCUUGAAAUUGGAUUUGAAAGUAAUUUUUAUUAAUAUAUAAAUUUGAUUUAUGCUCUAAAUUAUGUACACAUCGCCCGUCACUCUCGUUAUUUUAAAAUGAGAUAAGUCGUAACAAAGUAGGCCUACCGGAAGGUGGGCCUGGUAAGAAU